rnacentral:rRNA from 1 species
GAAGGCGGUCACCUUGAAUGAAUACUAACACUGAGGUGGGGAAGGGUGGGGGGCAAACAAGAUUAGAUUACCUUGUAGUUCACGCCGUUAACGAAGUCAAAUAGGCGUUGGGAGCCCUGAGGUCUUAGUUGCGCAGCUAACGCAUUUAGUUGACCGCCUGGGGAGUACGGCCGCAAGGGUAAAACUCAAAAGAAUUGACGGGGGCCCGCACAAGCGGUGGAGCAUGUGGUUUAAUUUGAAGCAACGCGAAGAACCUUACCAGGCCUUGACAUCCAAUGAACUUUCCAGAGAUGGAUUGGUGCCUUUGGGAGCAUUGAGACAGGUGCUGCAUGGCUGUCGUCAGCUCGUGUCGGGAGAUGUUGGGGUAAGUCCCGUAACGAGCGCAACCCUUUUCCUUAGUUACCAGCACGUUAUGGUGGGCACUCUAAGGAGACUGCCGGUGACAAACCGGAGGAAGGUGGGGAUGACGUCAAGUCAUCAUGGCCCUUACGGCCUGGGCUACACACGUGCUACAAUGGUCGGUACAGAGGGUUGCCAAGCCGCGAGGUGGAGCUAAUCCCACAAAACCGAUCGUAGUCCGGAUCGCAGUCUGCAACUCGACUGCGUGAAGUCGGAAUCGCUAGUAAUCGCGAAUCAGAAUGUCGCGGUGAAUACGUUCCCGGGCCUUGUACACACCGCCCGUCACACCAUGGGAGUGGGUUGCACACAAGAAGUAGUUAGUCUAACCUUCGGGGGGAGCGCUAACCAACGGUUGGAUAAAAGG